rnacentral:rRNA from 1 species
UUAAGUGACUAAGCGUACACGGUGGAUGCCUAGGCAGUCAGAGGCGAUGAAGGGCGUGCUAAUCUGCGAAAAGCGUCGGUAAGGUGAUAUGAACCGUUACAACCGGCGAUACCCGAAUGGGGAAACCCAGUGUGUUUCGACACACUAUCAUGUCAUGAAUACAUAGUGGCAUGAGGCGAACCGGGGGAACUGAAACAUCUAAGUACCCCGAGGAAAAGAAAUCAACCGAGAUUCCCCCAGUAGCGGCGAGCGAACGGGGAGGAGCCCAGAACCUGAAUCGGCUUGUGUGUUAGUGGAAGCGUCUGGAAAGUCGCGCAGUAAAGGGUGAUAGCCCCGUACACUAAAAUGCACAGGUCGUGAGUUCGAUGAGUAGGGCGGGACACGUGACAUCCUGUCUGAAUAUGGGGGGACCAUCCUCCAAGGCUAAAUACUCCUGACUGACCGAUAGUGAACCAGUACCGUGAGGGAAAGGCGAAAAGAACCCCGGCGAGGGGAGUGAAAUAGAACCUGAAACCGUGUACGUACAAGCAGUGGGAGCACCUUCGUGGUGUGACUGCGUACCUUUUGUAUAAUGGGUCAGCGACUUAUAUUUUGUAGCAAGGUUAACCGUAUAGGGGAGCCGUAGGGAAACCGAGUCUUAACUGGGCGAAUAGUUGCAAGGUAUAGACCCGAAACCCGGUGAUCUAGCCAUGGGCAGGUUGAAGGUUGGGUAACACUAACUGGAGGACCGAACCGACUAAUGUUGAAAAAUUAGCGGAUGACUUGUGGCUGGGGGUGAAAGGCCAAUCAAACCGGGAGAUAGCUGGUUCUCCCCGAAAGCUAUUUAGGUAGCGCCUCGUGAACUCAUCUUCGGGGGUAGAGCACUGUUUCGGCUAGGGGGCCAUCCCGGCUUACCAAACCGAUGCAAACUCCGAAUACCGAAGAAUGUUAUCACGGGAGACACACGGCGGGUGCUAACGUCCGUCGUGAAGAGGGAAACAACCCAGACCGCCAGCUAAGGUCCCAAAGUCAUGGUUAAGUGGGAAACGAUGUGGGAAGGCAUAGACAGCCAGGAUGUUGGCUUAGAAGCAGCCAUCAUUUAAAGAAAGCGUAAUAGCUCACUGGUCGAGUCGGCCUGCGCGGAAGAUGUAACGGGGCUAAACCAUGCACCGAAGCUGCGGCAGCGACGCUUAGGCGUUGUUGGGUAGGGGAGCGUUCUGUAAGCCGUUGAAGGUGGCCUGUGAGGGUUGCUGGAGGUAUCAGAAGUGCGAAUGCUGACAUAAGUAACGAUAAAGCGGGUGAAAAGCCCGCUCGCCGGAAGACCAAGGGUUCCUGUCCAACGUUAAUCGGGGCAGGGUGAGUCGACCCCUAAGGCGAGGCUGAAAAGCGUAGUCGAUGGGAAACAGGUUAAUAUUCCUGUACUUGGUGUUACUGCGAAGGGGGGACGGAGAAGGCUAGGCUAGCCGGGCGACGGUUGUCCCGGUUUAAGCGUGUAGGGGGUGUGACCUGGUAAAUCCGGUUGCAUAUCAACCCUGAGGCGUGAUGACGAUGCACUACGGUGCAGAAGUAGUUGAUGCCCUGCUUCCAGGAAAAGCCUCUAAGCUCCAGGUAACAUUAAAUCGUACCCCAAACCGACACAGGUGGUCAGGUAGAGAAUACCAAGGCGCUUGAGAGAACUCGGGUGAAGGAACUAGGCAAAAUGGUGCCGUAACUUCGGGAGAAGGCACGCUGGCAUGUAGGUGAAGUCCCUUGCGGAUGGAGCUGAAGCCAGUCGAAGAUACCAGCUGGCUGCAACUGUUUAAUAAAAACACAGCACUGUGCAAACACGAAAGUGGACGUAUACGGUGUGACGCCUGCCCGGUGCUGGAAGGUUAAUUGAUGGGGUCAGCCGCAAGGCGAAGCUCUUGAUCGAAGCCCCAGUAAACGGCGGCCGUAACUAUAACGGUCCUAAGGUAGCGAAAUUCCUUGUCGGGUAAGUUCCGACCUGCACGAAUGGCGUAAUGAUGGCCAGGCUGUCUCCACCCGAGACUCAGUGAAAUUGAACUCGCUGUGAAGAUGCAGUGUACCCGCGGCAAGACGGAAAGACCCCGUGAACCUUUACUAUAGCUUGACACUGAACAUUGAGCCUUGAUGUGUAGGAUAGGUGGGAGGCUUUGAAGCGUGGACGCCAGUCUGCGUGGAGCCAUCCUUGAAAUACCACCCUUUAAUGUUUGAUGUUCUAACUCGGCCCCAUAAUCUGGGGUGAGGACAGUGUCUGGUGGGUAGUUUGACUGGGGCGGUCUCCUCCCAAAGAGUAACGGAGGAGCACGAAGGUUAGCUAAUCACGGUCGGACAUCGUGAGGUUAGUGCAAAGGCAUAAGCUAGCUUGACUGCGAGAGUGACGGCUCGAGCAGGUACGAAAGUAGGUCUUAGUGAUCCGGUGGUUCUGAAUGGAAGGGCCAUCGCUCAACGGAUAAAAGGUACUCCGGGGAUAACAGGCUGAUACCGCCCAAGAGUUCAUAUCGACGGCGGUGUUUGGCACCUCGAUGUCGGCUCAUCACAUCCUGGGGCUGAAGUAGGUCCCAAGGGUAUGGCUGUUCGCCAUUUAAAGUGGUACGCGAGCUGGGUUUAGAACGUCGUGAGACAGUUCGGUCCCUAUCUGCCGUGGGCGUUGGAAGAUUGAGAGGGGUUGCUCCUAGUACGAGAGGACCGGAGUGAACGCACCACUGGUGUUCGGGUUGUCAUGCCAAUGGCAUUGCCCGGUAGCUAAGUGCGGAAAAGAUAAGCGCUGAAAGCAUCUAAGCGCGAAACUUGCCUCAAGAUGAGUCUUCCCUGGGCCUUUAAGGUCCCUGAAGGAACGUUUAAGACUAAGACGUUGAUAGGCUGGGUGUGUAAGUGCAGCGAUGCAUUGAGCUAACCAGUACUAAUGAUCCGUGAGGCUUAACCUU